rnacentral:rRNA from 1 species
UACAGAGGUCCCGAGCGUUGUUCGGAUUCAUUGGGCGUAAAGGGUGCGUAGGCGGCGGGGCAAGUCUGAUGUGAAAUCCUGGGGCUCAACCCCAGAACUGCAUUGGAUACUGCUUUGCUAGAGUACUGGAGAGGGAACUGGAAUUUACGGUGUAGCAGUGAAAUGCGUAGAGAUCGUAAGGAAGGCCAGUGGCGAAGGCGAGUUCCUGGACAGUGACUGACGCUGAGGCACGAAGGCCAGGGGGAGCAAACGGGG